AUCNGUGGCCAUACCAUCCUGAACAAGCCAGAUCUCAUCUGAUCUAGGAAGCUAAGCAGCACUGGGCCUCAUUAGUACUUGGAUAGAAGAAUUUUAUCAUAUGAGUUGGGGUUCAAGGGAUC
rnacentral:rRNA from 1 species